rnacentral:rRNA from 1 species
UCGGGAAUCUUGCGCAAUGGGGGGAACCCUGACGCAGCGACGCCGCGUGGGGGAGGAAGGCCUUCGGGUUGUAAACCCCUUUUCACCGGGGAGAGGGAGGACGGUACCGGUGGAAUAAGCCCCGGCUAACUACGUGCCAGCAGCCGCGGUAAGACGUAGGGGGCGAGCGUUGUCCGGAGUUACUGGGCGUAAAGGGCGUGCAGGCGGCCUGUUAAGUCACGGGUUAAAGGUCGCGGCUCAACCGCGGGGGGGCUCGUGAUACUGGCGGGCUUGAGGGC